rnacentral:rRNA from 1 species
AGGAUCAUUAAUGAAAUGUGUAAAAGAUGCACUUCUUAAGUAGUUGAGGAAUUUAGGGGGUUAAAAUAGUUGUUGCUGGCCUUGUCAUGAGGCAUUGUGCACGCUACCUCUGAGGACCUCUUCAAACUGGGGUGUGUGUCUAUCAUCUCAUCUCUCACCUGUGCACUUAAUGUAGGUCUGCAUGGUUUUGGUAAAACGAAACUGUGCUAGAGCCUCUCUCUCUGCGGGGGGAAAGGACGAAAGUACCUAUGUCUUCAAAUACAUCUUUGUGUAGAAAGUCUUAGAAUGUUUACUAUCAUUGAGUCACGACUCUUAGGAGACGUGGGUCUUUGAGAUAAAAGUUUAUUACAACUUUCAGCAAUGGAUCUCUUGGCUCUCGCAUCGAUGAAGAACGCAGCGAAACGCGAUAUGUAAUGUGAAUUGCAGAUCUACAGUGAAUCAUCGAAUCUUUGAACGCACCUUGCGCUCCUUGGUAUUCCGAGGAGCAUGCCUGUUUGAGUGUCAGUAAUUUCUCAACCCCUUUCAAUUAAGUUUGAAUGGGAGCUUGGAUAGUGGGGGUUUGCAGGAAACUUGGAUAUUUUCUUUAACUAGAAAAAGUCUAGGAUUCGAGCUCUCCUGAAAUACAUUGGCUUGCGGGUCUACUUUCGACUUUGUGCGAUAAGGCUUUCGGUGUGAUAAUGAUCACCGUAUGCUGAAGUGCAUAACUGUAAAGUUCCGUGCCUCUAAUAUUGUCGAUCCUAUCCUUAUAGGAUGGAUCUUCCUUAUAUGACAUUUUGACCUCAAAUCAGGUAGGACUACCCGCUGAACUUAAGCAUAUCAAUAAGCGGAGGAAAAGAAACUAACAAGGAUUCCCCUAGUAACUGCGAGUGAACCGGGAAAAGCUCAAAUUUUGAAUCUGGCAGUCCUUUGAGG